rnacentral:rRNA from 1 species
AUGAACGCUGGCGGCGUGCCUAAUACCUGCAAGUCGCGCGAACGGACGAGAAGCUUGCUUUUCUGAUGUUAGCGGCGGACGGGUGAGUAACACGUGGAUAACCUACCUAUAAGACUGGGAUAACUUCGGGAAACCGGAGCUAAUACCGGAUAAUAUUUUGCACCGCAUGGUUCCAAAGUGAAAGACGGUCUUGCUGUCACUUAUAGAUGGAUCCGCGCUGCAUUAGCUAGUUGGUAAGGUAACGGCUUACCAAGGCAACGAUGCAUAGCCGACCUGAGAGGGUGAUCGGCCACACUGGAACUGAGACACGGUCCAGACUCCUACGGGAGGCAGCAGUAGGGAAUCUUCCGCAAUGGGCGAAAGCCUGACGGAGCAACGCCGCGUGAGUGAUGAAGGUCUUCGGAUCGUAAAACUCUGUUAUUAGGGAAGAACAUAUGUGUAAGUAACUGUGCACAUCUUGACGGUACCUAAUCAGAAAGCCACGGCUAACUACGUG